CCUACGGGAGGCAGCAGUGGGGGAAUUUUGGACAAUGGGCGCAAGCCUGAUCCAGCAAUGCCGCGUGAGUGAAGAAGGCCUUCGGGUUGUAAAGCUCUUUUGUCAGGGAAGAAACGGUGACUACUAAUACUGGUUGCUAAUGACGGUACCUGAAGAAUAAGCACCGGCUAACUACGUGCCAGCAGCCGCGGUAAUACGUAGGGUGCAAGCGUUAAUCGGAAUUACUGGGCGUAAAGCGUGCGCAGGCGGUUUUUGUAAGUCUGUCGUGAAAUCCCCGGGCUCAACCUGGGAAUGGCGAUGGAGACUGCAAGGCUAGAGUUUGGCAGAGGGGGGGUAGAAUUCCACGUGUAGCAGUGAAAUGCGUAGAUAUGUGGAGGAACACCGAUGGCGAAGGCAGCCCCCUGGGGUCAAGACUGACGCUCAUGCACGAAAGCGUGGGGAGCAAACAGGAUUAGAUACCCUGGUAGUCCACGCCCUAAACGAUGUCUACUAGUUGUCGGGUCUUAAUUGACUUGGUAACGCAGCUAACGCGUGAAGUAGACCGCCUGGGGGAGGUACGGUCGGUCGAAGAAGUUAAAACGUUAAAGUUAAGUUAAGUUAGUUACGGCGUUGAGACGUUAGCCGACGGACGACGACGAGGGGAGGAGGG
rnacentral:rRNA from 1 species